AGAGCUUUGGUGAGUUAAUUAAGUUGGUUGAAAACGUUGGAAAGAACAUUAACAUUCAAUCAUGAAUUAAUGUAGGAAUAUGUUUGACCAAAAAAGUCAAUGGUAUAGCGAUUGAUCAACCACACUUGCAGGUUCAGAAACAAUGUUUGCCGCCUUGGGCACUUCUCUUACACUGCAAUUCAGGUGCAUAUUGAUAGAAGUCACCAUUGACUUCUGAGAUGUCAAACACUUGGGGAAUGCAUCAGGUACCUGCCAACAACCGUAAUCUAGAGGUGUUAGUUCAUAAUUUUGGAUUUUUGCUUAUUGUUAUCUCUAUGGGUCAGACAGGUGAUAUAAACAAAACAAACGCAAAGAAGGAAUUUGAUCAGUUUUGGGGAUGCUUGAGGCUGCUAUUUUGAGAAUAUUUAGGCGAUGGGUUGCUUAUCUAAAACUAUCUUGUGACAUGUUAGGUUCAGAAGCAAUAUUUGCCGACCUUGGGCACUUCUCUUACACCGCAAUUCAUAUAUAGAUGGAAGAUAACUUUGUUGUAUGAGUAAUACCUAGGUGUUUGAAAUUUAUGAGAUUUUUUAUAUUUCCAUUUGCCUCCCAUAUAUAGAUUACGCUCACGUUUGGGGUUUAUCCCGCACUCAUACUUGGUUACACGGGUCAUGUGUACUUAUCAAAAAAUCAUCAAAUCGGCUAUUAGGUCUCGGUACCAAGUAUUUCACAAUUACAAACCUUCAAAAAUGUAUCAGAAAGUUUGUUGCUUCCAUUUUGGGAAGUCAAGCAAUCAUAAGUGGAACAUUCUCGCUUA